rfam:Stegodyphus mimosarum contig39156, whole genome shotgun sequence.
GCCUUCGUGGUGUAGUGGUCAGCACGCUCGACGCGUAACCCAGAGGUCCGGGGUUCGAUUCCCGGAGAAGGUG